GGUAUUUUGACCGUGCAAAGGUAGCAUAAUCAUUAGUUUUUUAAUUGAAAGCUGGAAUGAAAGGUUGGAUGAAAAAUAAGCUGUCUCUAUUUAAAUUUAUUAGAAUUUUAUUUUUAAGUUAAAAAGCUUAAAUUUUAAUAGAAGACGAGAAGACCCUGUAGAGUUUUAUUUAUUUAAUAAAUAAAAAUAAUAGUAUUAAUUAUUUUUAUUUAUUAAAUAAAUUUAGUUGGGGUGAUUGAAAAAUUUAAUUAACUUUUUUUAUAUAUAUACAUUGAUUUAUGAUUAUUUGAUCCUUAGUUUAAGAUUAAAAGAUAAAAUUACCUUAGGGAUAACAGCGUAAUUUUUUUUGAGAGUUCUAAUCGAAAGAAAAGAUUGCGACCUCGAUGUUGGAUUAAAAUAAAAUUUUGGUGUAGAAGCUAAAA
rnacentral:rRNA from 1 species